rnacentral:rRNA from 1 species
AUUGAACGCUGGCGGCAUGCUUUACACAUGCAAGUCGAACGGCAGCGCGGGCUUCGGCCUGGCGGCGAGUGGCGAACGGGUGAGUAAUGCAUCGGAACGUGCCCAGUAGUGGGGGAUAGCCCGGCGAAAGCCGGAUUAAUACCGCAUACGACCUGAGGGUGAAAGCGGGGGACCGAAAGGCCUCGCGCUAUUGGAGCGGCCGAUGUCGGAUUAGCUAGUUGGUGGGGUAAAGGCUUACCAAGGCGACGAUCCGUAGCUGGUCUGAGAGGACGACCAGCCACACUGGGACUGAGACACGGCCCAGACUCCUACGGGAGGCAGCAGUGGGGAAUUUUGGACAAUGGGGGCAACCCUGAUCCAGCCAUGCCGCGUGCGGGAAGAAGGCCUUCGGGUUGUAAACCGCUUUCGUUCGGGAAGAAAUCCUCUGGGCUAAUACCCCGGGGGGAUGACGGUACCGGAAGAAUAAGCACCGGCUAACUACGUG